rnacentral:rRNA from 1 species
CGCGUAGGUGGUAGUGUAAGUCUGAGGUGGAAUCCUAUGGCUUAACCAUAGAACUGCCUUGGAUACUGUAUUACUUGAGUCAGUGAGGGGAGGGUAGAAUUCCUGGUGUAGCGGUGAAAUGCGUAGAUAUCAGGAGGAAGGCCUGUGGCGAAGGCGGCCCUCUGGUGCUGGACUGACACUGAGGCGCGAAAGCGUGGGGAGCAAACAGGAUUAGAUACCCUGGUAGUCCACGCCCUAAACGGUGGGCACUAGGUGUAGGGCUCGCAAGGGUUCUGUGCCGAAGGGAACCAUUAAGUGCCCCGCCUGGGGAGUACGGCCGCAAGGUUGAA